rnacentral:tRNA from 1 species
AGCUUUGUAGUUUAUGUUAAAAUGCCUGCUUGUGGUGCGGGUGAAGUGGGGGCUU